rnacentral:lncRNA from 1 species
GCAUAAUGAUAAAUUUUGCACGUUUCUUAGAGCAUGAGCAUUGGUGAACCCCACUUUGGAGUUCACCAAAUUUUUUUAAUAUUUUUUUGUGGGCCCAUAAACAGUUAUGAACCCGAAUUUGUUGUUUUCUGCAUUAGUGAACCCGAAGAAAGAGUUCAUAGGAAUAAAAUAAUAAUAUUUUUUAUUUUUUUUUAAAUUUAAAAUUAUUCAGAAUACAUGAAUAAAAUAUUAAAAUAUAUUAUAAAAUUUAUGAAAACACUUUAUUCAACCUAUGUUUUAGUUUUGGAGUUUAAGUUUUGGUUUUGAGAUAUGUUUUAAUAUUUUGGUUUGUGUUUUCAGAUGUAGAAAAGCUAUGUUAGAGUUUUGGAGUUUAUGUUGUUUCUUAACUUAAAUUCAAUUCAUAGAAAC